rnacentral:rRNA from 1 species
AUUGAACGCUGGCGGCAGGCUUACACAUGCAAGUCGAGCGGAGAUGAGGUGCUUGCACCUUAUCUUAGCGGCGGACGGGUGAGUAAUGCUUAGGAAUCUGCCUAUUAGUGGGGGACAACAUUCCGAAAGGAAUGCUAAUACCGCAUACGUCCUACGGGAGAAAGCAGGGGAUCUUCGGACCUUGCGCUAAUAGAUGAGCCUAAGUUGGAUUAGCUAGUUGGUGGGGUAAAGGCCUACCAAGGCGACGAUCUGUAGCGGGUCUGAGAGGAUGAUCCGCCACACUGGGACUGAGACACGGCCCAGACUCCUACGGGAGGCAGCAGUGGGGAAUAUUGGACAAUGGGGGGAACCCUGAUCCAGCCAUGCCGCGUGUGUGAAGAAGGCCUUAUGGUUGUAAAGCACUUUAAGCGAGGAGGAGGCUACUGAGACUAAUACUCUUGGAUAGUGGACGUUACUCGCAGAAUAAGCACCGGCUAACUCUGUGCCAGCAGCCGCCGCGG